rnacentral:rRNA from 1 species
GAUGAACGCUGGCGGCGUGCCUAAUACAUGCAAGUCGAGCGAACAGACGAGGAGCUUGCUCCUCUGACGUUAGCGGCGGACGGGUGAGUAGCACGUGGAUAACCUACCUAUAAGACUGGGAUAACUUCGGGAAACCGGAGCUAAUACCGGAUAAUAUAUUGAACCGCAUGGUUCAAUAGUGAAAGACGGUUUUGCUGUCACUUAUAGAUGGAUCCGCGCCGCAUUAGCUAGUUGGUAAGGUAACGGCUUACCAAGGCGACGAUGCGUAGCCGACCUGAGAGGGUGAUCGGCCACACUGGAACUGAGACACGGUCCAGACUCCUACGGGAGGCAGCAGUAGGGAAUCUGCCGCAAUGGGCGAAAGCCUGACGGAGCAACGCCGCGUGAGUGAUGAAGGUCUUCGGAUCGUAAAACUCUGUUAUUAGGGAAGAACAAAUGUGUAGUAACUAUGCACGUCUUGACGGUACCUAAUCAGAAAGCCACGGCUAACUACGUG